rnacentral:lncRNA from 1 species
CACAUGCGCAGUCUCCAGGGAUCUGGGUGAUGUCCGCAGGGGCCAUUUUUCAGCUGACCACUAGAGCCUGUGAGGGACCUGUGACGCCAUCCCUAGGAGCUCUGCGUGCCCCAGAUGUGCAGCCCUGGCAGCUCCCUGGAGCACUGUGGACCUGAGGGGACCCCAGCUGUGGGAAUGAAAGGCCAUCACGCCCCGUGGGUCUGCAGCCCGGGGAAGUGACUGCAGGAUGAUUUAUGGCACGGCUUUCCCCACGGCGCGCCUCUUUGCAGAGGAUCCCGCUGCUUCUGGCAGACCUCAGGAUGCCGUUAACAUUUCAUGGGCUCCUCUUCAGCGAAGGAGCGCGGUGUACAACCUCGAGCUGGUCAGUGCCUCGUCCGGGUGAGUCUCCCCUCGUGAGCCUGUCUCCUCGAUAUCACAGAAACCAGAGACGACUCUAUGGCGGGGGACAGCGUGGCCAGGCGCUGCCUCUUGCUGGCUGGGACGCUGUCAGAUUGAAUUCAUUUCCAGGGAAAGCGUUGUUAACGUGACGGUUAAACGCCUGGUGAUUCUCGUUGCCUUCUCCGAACGAUGUUUUGUGGCUGGGCUUUGCCAGCAGCCAUGAAUGUUCAUUGUGUGCAUGUGCCACUGGACGGGACAGGGCCCAGCCAGGGACUGACUGGUGGGGCCGUGAGACCUGCCUGAGUCCAGCCCUGAGGGCUGGAGACCUGCUGCAGGCCCGCCG